CCUAACACUCUAACGGUCUUUCAUUCUCACUUAGAGAGGAUUGACGCGUGUGGUGAGAGUAGUGGGAGGUCCUAGGGUAGGCGCUUUCACUGUAGGCCUAUACUACGGUAACGGACUAGCCUUGUGUAUGGUCGGGUGGAACCCCUCGGCAAUGGCUUUGCAAAGCAGUAGGGCCAUCACAAGUGCACAACCCGCCCCAGCUCUAUAUACAUUCUAUGUCCGGAUGUGUCGAUGAGUCUUAACAUGACAUGAUGUUUGCUUUAGUGAGUUUUGUGAAAUCAAUGUUUAUGUUUAUGAUGACUUAUAUGUUUAAGUGUGUAUGAACGUUCUUGCAAUGAAUUGUAUAAUUGUUUGAGACCUAGCUCACCCUUGCACUUGCAUGUUUGUAUGUGUUUGCCUUCCCCCUUGCGAUGAUCAUCCAAUCCUUUGGAUGUGAGCAGUAGGUGAUGAGGUACCCUUGGAGCAGGCGUGGGAGACUGAGGAAGAUCCAGCACCUAGUGCUUAGGCGAUCUUGUUGUUUUAUUUUUUUUAGCUUAUCAUAUUUUGCAAAACCUUGGACCUUGGUACUUUAAUUACUUGUCGUUUUAAUUUCCCCUCUAUUUUGGAUGACUGUAAUUUAUACUUAUACAGUUAUUUUCUACUCCUAACUGCUCUCUAUUAUUAUAAUAUGUUGCAUUCCAUUUGGUAUGAAUUAUACACACAUUUUGGGAUGUUACAAAGUGAGUAUUUACGACUUUUAUGAUGUAUUUCAGGUG
rnacentral:lncRNA from 1 species